AUUGAACGCUGGCGGCAGGCUUAACACAUGCAAGUCGAGCGGAGACUUCGGUCUUAGCGGCGAACGGGUGAGUAAUACCUAGGAAUCUGCCUAUUAGUGGGGGAUAACGAAUCGAAAGGUUCGCUAAUACCGCAUACGUCCUACGGGAGAAAGGGGGGGAGUCUUCGGACCUCUCGCUAAUAGAUGAGCCUAGGCCGGAUUAGCUAGUUGGUAGGGUAAAGGCCUACCAAGGCGACGAUCUGUAGCUGGUCUGAGAGGACGACCAGCCACACUGGAACUGAGACACGGUCCAGACUCCUACGGGAGGCAGCAGUGGGGAAUUUUGGACAAUGGGGGCGAACCCUGAUCCAGCCAUUCCGCGUGAGUGAAGAAGGCCUUCGGUUGUAAGACUCUUUCGGUCGAGGAACGAAACGGUAGGU
rnacentral:rRNA from 1 species